GGAAAAACUACGAGAAAAAUAGUAAAAACUACAACUUACGUUCAAAAACUUCUUCUCCAGUGUACGAAAUCGGCCAGCAGGUUUACAAGCGGAAUUUUCGCCAGUCCUCUUUCGCCAACAGGUAUAACGCCAAGCUAGGUCCAGUGUACCUUCCCUGUACGGUGCUCGCAAGAGUUGGUACAAACUCGUACGAGUUGGCUGACUCCUCCGGAAAACCCAUUGGUGUUUUUUCCGCGACUGAUUUGAAGCCCAGCACCUGAAAAGAAAAGAAAAAAAAAGAAAACACAACAAAGUAACUGUUGACCAACUUCGACGAUACAUAAAACUUACCAGAACCGAUCUCCGGGGCUGAUUCCCUUCCGUCCUUGGCACUGCAGGCCCUGGUAUGUGAAGACUGGAAAAGGCUCAGCAACGUCCAUCCAUCGCUUAAUUUACGACGUCGUUCGGAUGAGUUGUGAAAUUCCAUCAUUGUAAAAGAUGCUCCUGUCAAUUCGUCACUAGUUGAGGCACUUCCGGAUUUUUCCUCCUGCAGGUUUAGCUGAAAAAUGAAAGAGAGAUAGAUUAACAACAAGAUUUACCUAAAUACUGCCAUAAAUAGCGCUUUCGAGGACUUUUACCGUGAAAAUCAACCAAAAACUGUUUCGAAAAACCAUCAGCUUCUACUCCAAUGUUUACAUUUGAAAUAUUGAUUCUUCUUAUAAUCUUGUUCACUGUUCGACUGAUGUCAUGAGUGACCGUCAAUAAGUGAGUCCUACUGAGUUACACGAUUCUGUUCCUAUCAUAUGCUGAUUGAGAAGUAGACUGAUCGUGAUUAUAUCGAACCGAAAGUAAAAUUUUCAUUUUGUUUCAUUAAAAUGAGAAUUGAUUUAAAGGACUGUUGCAUUCAUAUCCCCAAUUACAAAAUGAAUGAUACUUCAUUCAUUUUGAGAAGGGAUGAUGAGGUAAUGUAACCGUUUGUUACUUGUACAUAAAAAUAAUGUGUCUCCGACACUUUUUCUAAAUCGACUACAUCCCUGGUAAGGGGUUCUCACUAACUCUCAUCGAGAGACGUCAAAACAAUCGCCACUCAGGGGUUCGUCCCAUUUUACCUCCCAUCCCUCUCACUACGCGGCUACUCUCUCCCGAGAGAUACCCAUGGGCGCGGAUGAACAGGCUUUUGUUAUUGCGAGGAAGUGUUAUCACCCAAUCAACGUCGCACACGUCAGUUCCGUUUGAUGACGUGCUUAUAUAUUGGUGUGACGGUCGGAUGAACUUUAUGUAAUUCGAGGUGGUGAAGAUUCGGCCUAGCAAGUGCAGAGUCUUUCUGUCCGUGAACGCCUUAGGGCAAAGAAGUGCGCGUCGUGUUCUUAACGUAAAAAGUACGAAUUUUGUGUAAAGUGGUGCAACAAAUUCUAAAUAUUUUACUAAAAUUACAGGGUUAAAAACGGAGAUACGUCUACAAGUUAAAAAAGGACGUUACAAACAAAUAGUUAAAAGUGGCUAAAACUACAAAUAUGAACGUUUAUUAAAACACUAAAAAAGUAGUACGUACCGAACUUUGAAAAUGUUACAUGUAUGAAUCGUGAAACUUAAAUGUCUUUUUUAUGUAACAGGCUACAAUCACAGCUUAAUUGUUAAAACGACUACAAAAACGAAAAAUAUUAAAACUUAUAGUGCGCAAAAAGCUUAAAAUCACGUAAAACAACAACGGCGGAAAACAAAUAACAAGUUAAAAACAGUUUACGAAGAAAAAGGUCCAGAGGACCUUUUUCUUUUUAAUUUUCAUCCUACAAGCUUCGGAUCGACCUCGUGGCAGCGGUUGUGGGCCGAACCAACACCAACAACAAAAAUACGACAGAAAUACGGACAGAAAAUAUCUUCGACCCGGUGGACAUAACUUCAACCGAUUCCACCUGACAACCACGCUGACUCCGGCCUGCAUCAUCUCGAUUCAACACCAUUUCGGGACGCCGAAACUGGUGAGAAUCCGCUAGAGUAGCUGCCCGCUUCGAGGAGAAAGAAUUUCCGGAGUUUUAUGCAACUCGAAGAAUACGAAAACUACACCGAAAUCGCAAGUAUACACCUAAAAGUGAUGUACAGUUCAGGGCUUGUACAGCCAAUAAAUAACCGCCUUGUAUUUUGUAAAACUUUAACCCUGUUGCAGUGAUUAUUUAGUUGGAGUUGUUUCCACUUUUUGCUUUGAUUUUCCUUCGUUUAUGCUACGUUGUCCCAUGCCUCCCCCUGAUACGUUCCGAGAAAGAUUUUGCACUUUGGUCAUCCAUACAAAAAUAGUCUCCGAAAAACGGUUGGUGACAUGCGAGGUACCACUCGCUUUUUAUAACAGGGUUUGUUUGUUGCGCUUUUGGACAUCUCUAUUUUGGGUGCUCUUGCAGUACUCAAGAGGGAGUAGCCCGUGGUGAUUCCUGAUUACGACCCUGAGUUCACAAUUCCACUCAAUACACCUUUAACCAAAACCACCCAC